AGUGUUUUAAAGCGACGCCCUGAGUGUCCAUCCGUGAGAGGCGCCUGUGUCCGUGUACGGAUACUGUUGUGCACUGACACCAGCGUACAACGGGUUAUCAUAAAAAGGGAGGAGGACGGUUUUGCUUUAUAAUAAUUGCACAAAAUGACCAACGGGGUGCCAAAGCUCGCUGACCGUCGUAAACUCGCACGAGUGCGACGCUUUCCAUCGUUAACAGGUUGCUUGGUUGGCCCUGAGGAGAGGUAGAUUUCUCUAUUUCUAAUCGGUCGCUGGUCCGGAAAAUUGGAGAGGUCCUAAUUAGUUCUGUAAUGCUGUUUGAGCCAGGUUCUAGCUAGAACUUCUGAGAAGGCCCUAACGAGAAUGCCCUUUUAUCGCCCUAUGACUGGUAGGGCGCCAUCUAGACCCUUUCUAUUACCUGAUGAAUAUUUAAAUGAUAUGACAAAAAAGGAAUUCAGCUAACGUGAAAUAGUAUUAUUUUUCUGACAUGGAGAACUGCAAUAAAGAAUUACACGAUGUCAUAGGAAAUCGUAUAUGUGACACGAAAUACCCUAGAUCGAAUGAAUAUUCCGGUCAAUCAAUAUAGAAACAACUACAAUAUCCCCUCUAGCUUUAAUUAUACGUUUAAUAUAGUACAGACUAUGUUGAAACAGAAACUUUCUGAAAUGUCAAAAUGUUUGUCUUUCGAUUAAAUUUGGUUGAAAGCAAAAGCAUGUUCAGACUUUAGGUACAUAUAAUUUCCCUGAAUAAUUACGCCUCAUUUUUAAGAAAAAGGAAAUUCUACUAUUAUUUCUUGAAUACAAAUGAUUAAAAAAUAUUUAAAAAUGUAAAUUAU